AUGGCUCGGGAUGAACGCUAGCGGAGGCCUAACACAUGCAAGUCGAACGGGGAUUGGUAGCAAUACCAUGAGAGUGGCGCACGGGUGAGUAACGCGUAUGCAACCUACCUGUAACAGAGGGAUAGCCCAUAGAAAUGUGGAUUAAUACCUCAUAGUCCUGAGAAGUCGCAUGGCUUUUCAGGUAAAACUCCGGUGGUUACAGAUGGGCAUGCGUGACAUUAGCUAGUUGGUAAGGUAACGGCUUACCAAGGCAACGAUGUCUAGGGGUUCUGAGAGGAUGAUCCCCCACACUGGUACUGAGACACGGACCAGACUCCUACGGGAGGCAGCAGUGAGGAAUAUUGGUCAAUGGGCGCAAGCCUGAACCAGCCAUCCCGCGUGCCAGGAUGACGGCCCUAUGGGUUGUAAACUGCUUUUUGUACAGGAAGAAAAGUCCCUACGUGUAGGGACCUGCCGGUACUGUACGAAUAAGCAUCGGCUAACUCCGUGCCAGCCGCAGC
rnacentral:rRNA from 1 species